AUUGAACGCUGGCGGCGGGCCUAACACAUGCAAGUCGAGCGGAGCGGCGGACGGGGGAGUAAUGCCUAGGAAUCUGCCUGGUAGUGGGGGAUAACGUCCGGAAACGGGAGCUAAUACCGCAUACUAUCAGAUGAGCCUAGGUCGGAUUAGCUAGUUGGUGGGGUAAAGGCCUACCAAGGCGACGAUCCCUAGCUGGUCUGAGAGGAUGACCAGCCACACUGGAACUGAGACACGGCCCAGACUCCUACGGGAGGCAGCAGUGGGGAAUAUUGCACAAUGGGCGAAAGCCUGACGCAGCCACGCCGCGUGUAUGAAGAAGGCUUUCGGGUUGUAAAGUACUUUCAGCGGGGAGGCGUUACCCGCAGAAGAAGCACCGGCUAACUCCGUGCCAGCAGCCGCGGUAAUAC
rnacentral:rRNA from 1 species